AUUGAACGCUGGCGGCGUGCUUAACACAUGCAAGUCGAGCGGUAACAGGCGUAGCAAUACGUGCCGACGAGCGGCGAACGGGUGAGUAAUGCUUCGGAAUCUACCCAGUAAUGGGGAAUAACCAACCGAAAGGUUGGCUAAUGCCGCAUACGUCCCUUUUUCGUAUUGGAAAUUGGAGAAAGCGGGGGCCCGUAAGACCUCGCGUUAUUGGAUGAGCCGAAGUCGGAUUAGCUAGUUGGUGAGGUAACGGCUCACCAAGGCGACAAUCCGUAGCUGGUCUGAGAGGACGACCAGCCACACUGGGACUGAGACACGGCCCAGACUCCUACGGGAGGCAGCAGUGGGGAAUAUUGGACAAUGGGGGCAACCCUGAUCCAGCGACGCCGCGUGUGUGAAGAAGGCCUGCGGGUUGUAAAGCACUUUUAGUGGGGACAAAAAGCUACGGGCUAAUACCCUGUGGUCUUGAUUUAACCCAAAGAAAAAGCACCGGCUAACUCUGUG
rnacentral:rRNA from 1 species